rnacentral:rRNA from 1 species
UUCUUUGGACCACUCUCGUUUACUUGCACACGCAAGCAGAGGGGAAAAUUUUGGUCGUUUGUACCAAAAGGAGACCGGCGAAUGGGUGAGUAACAGCGUAGGCAAUCUGCCUGGGAGACGGGGAUAACCCACCGAAAGGUGAGCUAAUACCGGAUGAUGCAGCGGGGUCGCAUGACCCUGUUGUUAAAGGUUUCGGCCACUCCCAGAGUUUUUUGCGUGCCAUUAGCUAGUUGGUGCGGUAACGGCGCACCAAGGCGAUGAUGGCUAGGGGGUCUGAGAGGAUGAUCCCCCACACUGGGACUGAGACACGGCCCAGACUCCUACGGGAGGCAGCAGUGAGGAAUCUUGCGCAAUGGGGGCAACCCUGACGCAGCCACGCCGCGUGCCGGAAGACGGCCCUAUGGGUUGUAAACGGCUUUUAGGUGGGAAGAAUCUCCCGAAUUCGUUCGGGACUGACGGUACCGCCAGAAUAAGCACCGGCUAACUCCGUGCCAGCAGCCGCGGUAAUACGGAGGGUGCAAGCGUUGUCCGGAAUUAUUGGGUGUAAAGGGUGCGCAGGCGGAAGCCUACGUCGAGGGUGAAAGACGGCCGUUAACGGUCGCAGUGCCUUCAUACGGGGUUCUUGAGUCCGGAAGAGGUGGUGGAAUUCCUGGUGUAGCGGUGAAAUCAUAAGAUCACCAAGAACACCGGUGCCAAAGCGGCAACUGGUCCGGCCUACCUGAGCCCAGACCUGGGAGCGACAGAUUAAAACCUGUAGCACGCUGACCAUUAUCUAUUGCGGCCGAGGGCCGUACCAUACCCUACUACCCUUGGACUUCAAAUAAUAAGAUCCGGCCCCACUGGAUU